UUGCUGACCUGGCGUCCCCACCGCUCCAGUUCGUGUGGCCAGGUCUUUUACCGCUGACCUGGGGAGGACUUAGGUGCAGGGGAGGGAUGGAGCAGGGGGCAGGGCAAGGAGGGAUGGGGGCUCAGGGCGGGGCACGCGGAAGCAACUGCGAGGACUAAGGGAGCCCGCAGCCUGGGGCAUUGGAGCCCCUCGCCAUACCCCUAGUGCGUCCUCACCCCCUCAGCCCGUGCUUCCCAGGGCCGGUAUCCUCGGAAGGCCCGGCCCUCACAGCCUUGGCAGGCCAAGGUCAGAAUGAUUGGAGUUGGGGGAUGGGACGGGGGCAUCCCUCCAGGACCAGCUCUCCAGGAGGCCCACAUUCUCUCUGCGGGAACCACUCCAAAGGGGCACGCUGUUCCAGGCAGCCCCUCGCGCAGACACUCCGGCUUUGUCGAGGUAGGAGUAGGCUGACCCCGGAAUUCUGCCGCGCUAGUGACUGACACAGGCUGUUAAAGUGCUUGACCCUGCAGGGGUGGGUGGGGGAGUUCCUUGGAAAAGGUUAGGGCGCUGUGGAAAGGAGGCCCCUACAUAAAUCCUAACCUCUUUGGGAUUUUGCCCCUGCUUGUGCAACUUUGGGGGUCGAACGGGAUGGGGUGGGCAGCUCUGAGGCUUUUUAGGGGUUCAGCCUUUCCCAUUUUCCCCCUUCGAAGGACCCAAUAGGGUGCAUAGGACAUUUCCACGGGCAACCUGGGACCAUCCCUGACACAGCAACCUAACCACCCCCGCUCCUCCCGCGCAUAGGAUAUUUCUACUUCUUUGACAGAGUAACCUAAACGCCUGGGGGGGCUGGGAGCCACAGAUUCCUGUCAUUCCAAAGUGGGGGUGGGGGCAUGGCUAAAGAAAACGUGACCACGCUGUUCCUGGUGUGUAGGUAUGGAUUUAGAAAUCGGUCCACUCAGAACGCAGGGGCUUUCAAAAGUUUCCUCUAGGAAGCAUCUGUCAGUAUACCCUCUUAAUGUUUGACAGUUCUAAUCACAAUUAUAUUUAGACUUUGAGAAACCCCCCUGUGUGUCUAAUGGCUGCCAGCGUGAUGCCAGAGAACCCUGGCAGGUGGCCUGCAGUAAGCAGAAGGCCUGCACCUUCUGCAGAGCCAGGGGCAGUGCCAGAGUCCCCUGGCCUGUGUCUACCCUUUCACCCACAUGCUCACGGUGGAGAUGACCAUCUGACCAGAUUUCGGAGCCCCCAGGCAGAAGAAAGGCUGCAGGGGGCCCGGGAAGGCAGCCUGGGAGUAGGUGUGCAGGUGGGACCCAUCGCUUACACUGUAGAAGGACACCUCCCCGGCCUCGAAGUCCAGGAAGAUGCCCACGUGGCUGGGAGGCUCCAUCAGCAUGACCGGGGUCAGGGCAGACAAGGGCCCACAGCGCAUCCCCGGUGAUGUUCAUGCCCACCUCCCAGUAGUGCCUCCCAGAGGAGAAGGUCGUCUGGCCCACAGCACAGGGGUAAGCCACAAAUCGGUCCUUGCUGCAGAAUCCGCUGCCCUCUGGCGAAGAGCUGAGGUAGCGCCUCUGGCGGCUGUCAUACAGGAGGAGGUAGGGGUAUGCGGAGGUGGCAUCAGGCACCACAUCCUCUGUAGAUGGGCAUGGUGGUGGAGAGAUGGGGAGAGGUGCAGGGCAUUCAGGGUCAAAGGUGGGAGCACCCGGGCCUUAGCGGUGGAUGUGGCCAAAUGGUCCCCUAACUCCCCAGAGGCCUCCCCUGCUGUGAAUCUUGGGGGAGGGGAGGCUUCCACACACCAACUGUGUGUGGGUAUUGGUGGCAAUAAGGUACAGGGGGCUGGGCGGAGGGACCACUGGGAACUCAACAAGAUUCUAAUUCAUGAAUUAGAACCAUCAGUAACGCCGCCCUACAAAGGCACAGUGAAUAUAGCCAGUGACCGUCACUAGGCAGUGCACUUGCAGACCCCCCCCCCCCACUGGUGGCUUCCAAGGCUAGGGGGUACAGUGGGGCAUUGCCAAGAGAUCCUGGGUCAGAGGUCCCGGCCCUGGGUGCCCACUUACCUAGAAAGCUUCUUAGCAUUUCAAUCUGUCCGGGAACUCUGCACACAGUCCUGGGUCUGGUUGGGGGGGCAACCUCUGGGCACUGCACACUCACGUUGUUCUUCCUCCGGUGGGCACACACAGGGAGUCUUAUUGACUCCCCUGGCCCCACAGUCUUAUUGUCCCCCCCGCCCACCACUGCCACUGCCCCCGCGCCUGCCUGAGGGGACCGCAUACCUGCUCAGGGGUUCCUUCAUGUCCUGCAAAAGACAGGGACGGAGGGCGGGGAGUGAGCCAAGCUCCUGGCUCACCUCAAUGUCCCUGCUCCCUUCUUGUCCGUGUCUUAGGGCAAGACCCAUCCUGUCCCCUGGGCAUUCCCUUCCCACAAUUGAGCUUCAUGGCACUCCUGAGCCUUCCCCACUGCCCUGGCUCCCACUACCACCAGAGCCCCCAGUGCCUCACCUAAGCUGAGCUACCCUGUCAGCCCACGGUCACACGCCUGAGGUCCUGCAACUCAGGAGAGGUGGAGGGAGCCCCUCCGGGCAAGUGGCCACUCAACACUGACCCUCCUCUCCCAUUUCAGAUGUGAUCUCACCAUCACCCAGGCUGGAGUGCAGUGGCGCAGUAGCUCACUGCAGCCUUGAACUCACGGGCUCAAGCAGUCUUCCUGCCUCAGCCUCCUGAGUCCUGGACCACAGGCACACACCACCAUGCCCUGCUAAUAGGUUUAAGUUUUUGUAGAGAUGGCGUCUCGUCAGCUGUAAUCAAGCCCCCUCUCCAGGACCAUGGCACACAGGCUGGUCCCAGCAGGCAGGCUGGCUGCUUCACCUCCCCACCGCCAUUGCCAUGCAACUCACUCCUGGGACAGUGCACCUCCCCCACACCGAGACAUGGAGUCCCUGUCCCAAAGCCGCACCUGGCUGCCAGGUGUCCCAAGCCACCUCUCUGGACUUGGAAGGAAAUGGGGACACUGUCUCAGGUUGGAACCUGUAAGGGGCUGACUUGUGUCCCCACUAAUUCACAGGUUGAAGCCCGAACCCUCAGGACCUCAGAAUGUGACUGUGUUUGGAGAUAGCAUCUUUAAGGAGGGAGUUGAGGUCACUGGGGUGGGCCCUAAUCCAGUCUGACUGGUGUCUUUAUAGAAGGAGAUGAUUAGGACACAGACGUGCAUAGAGAGAUGAUGCUGUGAGGACACGGGGAGAAGACAGCAUCUUCAGGCCCAGGAGAGAGGCUCAGGAGGAACCAGGCCUGCCCGCACCUUGGCCUCAGCCACCCAGCCUCCAGGACUAGCAGACUGGGAGCUAACAGCCCUUUCCUGUUGGCUGCCUCUUCCCCAAGCCCAGUGCUCCCUGCCCAUGCCUGUCAGAGCUCACAUCCCGCCCUGCCUGCCAAGCCUACUGGCUCACCUGCAGCAUCUGGAGGGGCCCCUGUGUGCUCCGCUCCUCCAGCUGCAGCAGCAGCAGCUCCAGGGAGUGGCUCUGCCGGUCCAGGCAGGCCACGUUCUCCCGGAGCCUACUGGAGGUCUCCUCUUCUUCCCUCUCCAGAGCCUGGAGGAGCCUCUGCUUUUCUUCCACCAGGUAGAGGUGAUUCUUCUCAAACUCCAGCACAAUGCGUUCUCUCCGCUCCUUCACCUUGUUCUGCAGGAGUGGAGAAGCCCGGCAUGUCGCCAGCAGGUGGCUCAGCUCCAGGGAUGCUGGCACCUCACCCCAAGGCCCUGAUGACCCACAGAUCACCAGCAACUGGAGCUUUAGCUGGGGACCAGGAACUGUGACAGCGGCCCCCACCCCUGCUAUCCUGUGAUACACUGAGUGUAACCCUCCGAGCCCCAAACUGCAACUUCUAUACAUCCAAACACCCAUGUACCCUUGCUCUGAGGAGGUUCAGAAUGUCCACCCCCAGAUAAGCCUCUUGGGCGUGUUAAACAAAAUUGAUGGGUGGCCAUUGUUUUUUGUUUUGUUUUGUUUUGUUUGAGACAGGGUCUCGCUCAGUUGCCCAGGCUGGAGUGCAGUGGCACUUAUUGCAACCUCGACCUCCUAGGCUCAAGUCAUCUGAGUAGCUGGGACCACAGGCAUGCACCACCACAUCCAGCUAGUUUUUAAAUUUUGUGUAGGGACAGGGUCUUGCUCUGUUGCCCAGGCUGGAGUGCAAUGGCACAACCACAACUCACUGCAACUUUGACCUCCUGGCCUCAAGUGACCCUCCCACCUCAGCCUUCCAAGUAAGUGGGACAACAGACAUGUGUCACCACCACCAUGCCCAGCUAAUUUUUAAUUUUUUUGUAGAGACAGGGUCUUGCUAUGUUGCCCAGGGUGGGGUUCAGUGGCACGAUCAUGGUUCACUGCUGUCUCGGACUCCUGGGCUCAAGUGAUCCUCAGGGGCCACUGUUUUGAACUGGGCUCCUGUGCUAGGUCCCAGAAGACCAGACCCAACCAGAAUGGAGUCACUGGUGCUAAUGAAACCAAGGGGUUCAUUGAUCAGGUCAGCCUGCCCUGAUUGCUUUUUGUUAUUUUGUUUUUCCUUUUUCCACGAAGCUGAAGGCCGUGGCUCUGAACACUGACGCCCAACCUUCACUGGCUGCUUUACAGAUAAUAUUCACAGGUCACCAUGGGACUGGUCGCUUCAGGAAUGUGGGGCAGCUCCUGUCCAGCUGAAACUGGUUGAGACCAUCUGCCCUUCAAGUGGACCUGUCCCAGUGCCCGAGGUGGCCUUUUGAUGUAAGAGGGCCAAAACUUCCAACCUCAGAUCAUGCUAAGGCUGCCAUUUCUGGUACCUGUGUCCUGUGAAAUGCCAUGCACCCCGACAACACCUGCACAGAAUGGGCCUGCUGGACCACCCUGCCUCUGUAGUUCAUAAAGACUCCCAAGCUGUAUCACUUGGGAGGCGGGUUUAAGAGCUGUUCUCCCUCCUCCUCACUCGGCAGCCUUGCAAAUAAAUCUUUUCUCUUA